AGAGGGUGCAAGCGUUGUUCGGAAUUAUUGGGCGUAAAGCGCGUGUAGGCGGCUUUGCAAGUCGGGUGUGAAAGCCCUCGGCUCAACCGAGGAAGUGCGCCCGAAACUGCAGAGCUUGAGUACCGGAGAGGAUGGCGGAAUUCCCCAAGUAGAGGUGAAAUUCGUAGAUAUGGGGAGGAACACCGGUGGCGAAGGCGGCCAUCUGGACGGAUACUGACGCUGGGACGCGAAAGCGUGGGGAGCAAACAGGAUUAGAUACCCUGGUAGUCCACGCCGUAAACGAUGAGAACUAGGUGUCGUGGGUGUUGACCCCCGCGGUGCCGUAGCCAACGCAUUAAGUUCUCCGCCUGGGAAGUACGGCCGCAAGGCUA
rnacentral:rRNA from 1 species